rnacentral:lncRNA from 1 species
UAUUUUUGGACAAUCAGACACCAAAUUGUGUGAACAUGAUCAAGCAGAUAAAGAAUAAACGAUUGUUAUCAUUACAUGCAGUGCUCCAACCAUAAGAUCACUUGUCACAAAAGUUUGAAAUUAUAAACAUUCUUGAGAUUCAAGAUUGAUUGGUACCAAAUCAAUAAAAUGGCAAUCAUGUCAGUACGUACAGCUUUUAAAAACUGUAUUUAUUCCAUUGUAACUUCUCCUUAUUUGCUAAGCAUUUAUAUACAUCAGGUUCAUCUUUUUUAGAAAUAAACUAGUACUAGUACCUAUAAUAAGCUUUGCAAGCGAGGACAAAAUCACUUUUUUAGCAACAUGGAGGCUCUACGAAAAUCUUUGUUGAUUUUUGCUAUUGUUACAGUAAUAAUCCAGAAUAAAGCAAUGGCGGCACAACAUGUUGUUGGGGGGAGCCAAGGAUGGGAUGAAUCCACUGAUUUCAACUCCUGGGCGUCUGGUGAGACAUUCAAAAUUGGAGAUACACUAGGUUCGUUCAUUGCUUUUUUCUUGUUCAUAUAUACCAAAAUUAGGGAUAAUAGCACUUUCGGUCUCUCAAUUAU